UACAGGGGGUGCAAACGUUGCUCGGAAUUAUUGGGCGUAAAGCGCGCGUAGGCGGUCGCUUAAGUCGGAUGUGAAAGCCCUUGGCUCAACCGAGGAAGUGCACCCGAAACUGAGUGGCUUGAGUACGAAAGAGGGUCGCGGAAUUCCCGGUGUAGAGGUGAAAUUCGUAGAUAUCGGGAAGAACACCCGUGGCUAAGGCGGCUCUCUAGUACGGUACUGACGCUGAGACGCGAAAGCGUGGGGAGCGAACGGG
rnacentral:rRNA from 1 species